rnacentral:lncRNA from 1 species
GGGAAACUAUGUUCAAGAAAGCAAAAACAAAAGCUAAAAAGAAGCCACGUAAACGUUCAGAUAGUUCUGGAGGUUAUAACCUUUCAGAUAUUAUUCAGAGUCCAUCAUCUACAGGAUUAUUAAAGUCUGGUAAGACCAAUUCUGUGGAAUCUCUUCCAGAACUGUUGACAUCAGACUCUGAAGGAAGCUAUGCAGGAGUGGGUAGUCCUAGAGAUUUACAGUCCCCUGAUUUUACAACAGGAUUUCAUUCAGAUAAGAUUGAGGCGAAAGUCAAACAAUAUGUUAAUGGUACAUCUCCUGUGUAUUCUAGGGAAGAUUUAAAACCAUGGGAAAAGUCACCAAUACUUAAAAUAUCUGCUCCACAGCCCAUUCCCAGUAACAGAAUUGAUACUACCAGCUCUGCCAGUUGGGUUGCUGGUUCUUUCAGUCCUGUCAGCCCUCCUGUUGUGGAUCUCAGAACUAUCAUGGAAAUAGAAGAAAGUAGACAAAAAUGUGGAGCUACACCAAAGUCACAUUUAGGCAAAACAGUUUCUCAUGGAGUUAAACUUUCUCAGAAGCAACGAAAAAUGAUUGCAUUGACUACCAAGGAAAACAAUUCAGGAAUGAAUAGCAUGGAAACAGUUUUAUCCACUCCUUCAAAAGCCCCCAAACCAGUGAAUGCAUGGGCAUCUUCUCUGCAUUCAGUUUCAUCCAAGUCAUUCCGGG